AACGAACGCUGGCGGCAUGCCUAACACAUGCAAGUCGAACGCCCUGGUUCGCCAGGGAGUGGCGCACGGGUGAGUAACGCGUGGGAACCUGCCCGGCAGUACGGGACAACCGCGGGAAACUGCGGCUGAUACCGUAUACGGCCUGAGGGCGAAAGAAUUUCGCUGUCGGAGGGGCCCGCGUCGGAUUAGGUAGUUGGUGGGGUAACGGCCUACCAAGCCUGCGAUCCGUAGCUGGUCUGAGAGGAUGAUCAGCCACACUGGGACUGAGACACGGCCCAGACUCCUACGGGAGGCAGCAGUGGGGAAUAUUGGACAAUGGGCGCAAGCCUGAUCCAGCAAUGCCGCGUGAGUGAUGAAGGCCUUAGGGUUGUAAAGCUCUUUCGCCCGCGACGAUGAUGACGGUAGCGGGAGAGGAAGCCCCGGCUAACUCCGUGCCAGCAGCCGCGGUAAUACGGAGGGGGCUAGCGUUGUUCGGGAAUUACUGGGCGUAAAGGGCGCGCA
rnacentral:rRNA from 1 species